rnacentral:rRNA from 1 species
GUGGGGAAUAUUGGACAAUGGGCGAAAGCCUGAUCCAGCAAUGCCGCGUGAGUGAUGAAGGCCUUAGGGUUGUAAAGCUCUUUUACCAGGGAUGAUAAUGACAGUACCUGGAGAAUAAGCUCCGGCUAACUCCGUGCCAGCAGCCGCGGUAAUACGGAGGGAGCUAGCGUUGUUCGGAAUUACUGGGCGUAAAGCGCGCGUAGGCGGCUCAGCAAGUCAGGGGUGAAAUCCCGGGGCUCAACCCCGGAACUGCCUUUGAAACUGCUAGGCUAGAAUCCUGGAGAGGCGAGUGGAAUUCCGAGUGUAGAGGUGAAAUUCGUAGAUAUUCGGAAGAACACCAGUGGCGAAGGCGACUCUGGACAGGUAUUGACGCUGAGGUGCGAAAGCGUGGGGAGCAAACAGGAUUAGAUACCCCAGUAGUCC